ACUGGGCGGGCGAAGCUGGGCGACUCCGCCGAGCCCCACGCCUUCGCAUUUGCCCAUCCCUGUUUUAAAACUUGACCUUAAAAUUGUAACUGGUUUCCUCUUUCUGCAGGUGGAUCCUCUCUGAUACAGGUGAAAGAGCAGUGUGGUCAUUCAGGGCGAGGAGAUGGGAGGGCCCACGAUAACAUCCGAUGAACUCCGACACUUAGCAGUGAAUGAGUAGGAGGCCCGCAGGUGGCCUGGUGGUUAAAGGCGCUGGACUCCCACUCAAUGAUGCCCCUGAGCUGGAGGUGCUCAUUGGUGCUAUCAACAUUGAUUGAUUCAGCUUUAGAUGUUGUCUCCUGCUCCUCAGACCAGACUGUGAACUUGUGAAGGGUGGGGUCCAAGUCUGAUUCAGCUCCUGCACCACAGCAGGUGCCUCAGGAAGCCUCCGGGAUCAUCACAACAUUUGCUGUGCAUGUGCCCAUGACCCAGGGCUGGCUGAGGCUGGGAGUGAACUGCAGCGUCAAGACCAAGUUAGGGUGCUGUCUUUGUCUCUUUUUGCCCCUCUUGCUCAUGGAAGAAAUAAAUAAUGAACUUUAAA